AUGUUCUCCUCCUCCCUGCUACUGCUGCUGGCAGCUGUAAACAGAGACUACUGUAUUGAGCUGAACCAGCCUGGUUCUAUGGUUAUGAUGCCUGGUCAGUCCAUGACUUUGUCCUGUAAGGUCUCUGGAUAUUCACUGACUGAUAGUGACUACUGUACAUACUGGAUACGACAGCCUGCAGGAAAAGCAAUGGAAUGGGUUGGAGGAAUAUGUGGUGAUGGUAACACAUAUUACAGCGACAAACUGAAGAACAAAUUUCAGGUCUCCAGAGAUCCCUCCAGCAGUACAGUAUCUCUGCGAGGACAAAGCCUGCAGACUGAGGACACAGCUGUGUAUUACUGUGCUGGAGAGUCACAGUGA